rnacentral:rRNA from 1 species
UACGUAGGGUGCAAGCGUUGUCCGGAAUCAUUGGGCGUAAAGAGCGUGUAGGCGGCCAGAAAAGUCCGCUGUGAAAACUCGAGGCUCAACUUCGAGCUGUCGGUGGAAACUUUCUGGCUAGAGUCCGGAAGAGGAGAAUGGAAUUCCUGGUGUAGCGGUGAAAUGCGCAGAUAUCGGGAGGAACACCUAUGGCGAAGGCAGCUCGCUGGGACGUUACUGACGCUGAGACACGAAAGCGUGGGGAGCAAACAGG